GACGUGACUUCAGAGUUUGAUCCUGGCUCAGGAUGAACGCUAGCGGCAGGCUUAACACAUGCAAGUCGAGGGGCAGCAUGAUGUAGCAAUACAUUGAUGGCGACCGGCGCAAGGGUGCGUAACGCGUGAGUAACAUGCCGUAUCAGGGGGAUAACCCGAAGAAAUUCGGACUAAUACCCCAUAGUAAUUUGUGGAGGCAUCUCUAUGAAUUUAAAGCUCCGGCGGAUACGGAUUGACUCGCGUGACAUUAGCUAGAUGGUAAGGUAACGGCUUACCAUGGCAACGAUGUCUAGGGGAACUGAGAGGUCGGUCCCCCACACUGGAACUGAGACACGGUCCAG
rnacentral:rRNA from 1 species